rnacentral:rRNA from 1 species
UACAGAGGUGGCAAGCGUUGUUCGGAAUUACUGGGCGUAAAGGGUUUGUAGGUGGCCAACUAAGUCAGACGUGAAAUCCCUCAGCUUAACUGGGGAACUGCGUCUGAUACUGGUUGGCUUGAGUGCAGGAGAGGAACGCGGAAUUCCAGGUGUAGCGGUGAAAUGCUUAGAGAUCGUCAGGAACACCCAGGGGGAAACCAGCCGCCUGGGCAAGCGCUGACGCUGAGGUGCGAGAGCGUGGGGAGCGAACCGG